rnacentral:rRNA from 1 species
UACAUGCAAGUCGAGCGAACGGACGAGAAGCUUGCUUCUCUGAUGUUAGCGGCGGACGGGUGAGUAACACGUGGAUAACCUACCUAUAAGACUGGGAUAACUUCGGGAAACCGGAGCUAAUACCGGAUAAUAUUUUGAACCGCAUGGUUCAAAAGUGAAAGACGGUCUUGCUGUCACUUAUAGAUGGAUCCGCGCUGCAUUAGCUAGUUGGUAAGGUAACGGCUUACCAAGGCAACGAUGCAUAGCCGACCUGAGAGGGUGAUCGGCCACACUGGAACUGAGACACGGUCCAGACUCCUACGGGAGGCAGCAGUAGGGAAUCUUCCGCAAUGGGCGAAAGCCUGACGGAGCAACGCCGCGUGAGUGAUGAAGGUCUUCGGAUCGUAAAACUCUGUUAUUAGGGAAGAACAUAUGUGUAAGUAACUGUGCACAUCUUGACGGUACCUAAUCAGAAAGCCACGGCUAACUACGUGCCAGCAG